CCAGUGUACACGGCAGAACACCCCUCCUACCCAGCCCAGGGCACUGGCCAAACCAGCCAGUUUCUUGGAGACUUUCACCGACUAACCAGGAAAACAAAAUAACUCUGAAGAGAGGGAGGCAGGUCAAGGGAAUAUUCUGGAAACUUUGGUUUCUGGAUUUCCAUCAGGUGGAAGGGCCAGGAGGUCACUUCCCCAGAUUGAGGGAUGACUGAGGUAAACGCCGCCUGGCAGGGACUCGGUGUUUACAGGAACUUUGCAGCCGACCUCGGGUAUAGUCCUGGGGGACAGGGAGGUGGCCCUGGACUCGGGUCUGCCCUGUCCCCUCUUCUUCAGGUCUGCGUUCAAAGGCAGGUUUUCUGCCACAUGUUUGCAGUGUGAUCUUGGGCACGUCAUCUUUCUGAGCUCAAUUUUCUCAUCUGUACACAGGGGCAACAGUGUCCCAGGCCUCCUGGAGUUGCUGGGGGACGAAAUGAUACAAAACAGAUCAACAAUUUAGCCCAGGGGCCUAGCUCAUGCCAAAUUCCCAGUAAAUGUUGGCUGUCAAUCAUUAUUUGCAAAUUUAUUAAUUAUCAAUCACUUACUGUAUAAGUAGGUAUUGAGCUGUAGACACUAUCUCAAUUAAAUCCCAUUCCUUUCCUGUAAGAACUAUCACUGACUCCAUUUUACAGACAGGGAAACUGAGCCUCUGAGAUUUGACCUGGCUUCCCCGAGGAAAUCCCGUGGACAGAGGAGCCUGGCGGGCUGCAGCCCAGGGAGCCGCACAGAGUUGGACAUGACUGAGUGACUCACACUUUCACAUUCAUCUCUGGAGGGGCGUCACUCUGCUUGCCACAAACCUGGAAUCCAGGCCCAACCCAGCCUCUGGAGCUUCCCAGGUAUUGGUCGUCUACAGGUACAAUAAUGCUACAUAACAAACCACCCCAACCUUUUAUUCUCUCGAAUGUGGAGGGAAGAAAGGAUAGAGACAAGAAAACCAUAGGUGAGACUGAAAAAGAGAAGUCAGUGAGGUAGGUAACCAACAAACAGAAAUGACGCUGGAUCUGAGGAAUUCUUCCCUGUUCCCUGGAUCCACGCCUCUUGACCUGUGACCUUGCGGUUCCUCCCACAAAAGGGGUGGAGCAUAUUCCCUCCCGGGUGACUUGGGUUCAGCCACAUGGUUUGUUUUUACCAACAGAAUGAGAUGAGAGUGACAGUGUGUCCGCAGGAGACUAGGCUUUCAGAGACCUUGCAUGUCUCCACCUGGCUUUUAUGCCUCUGCCAUCGCUGUAAAGAACCUGCCUGCAAUGCAGAAAACCUGGGUUCGAUCCCUGGGUUGGCAAGACGCCUUGGAGAAGAGAAAGGCUACCCACUCCAGUGUUCUGACCUGUAGAAUUCCAGGGACUGUCUAGUUCCUGGGGUCGCAAAGAGUGGGACAGGACUGAGCGACGUGCACUUUCACUUCACCCUAACCCUGAUUUUAUUGGGAUGGCAGUCAGCCAGCUAAAAGCUCUCAGCCUCCUGAAGUCCCUGUGACAGCCGGGAGCGGCUAUGUGAUCCAGUGUGGAUACGAGCUAGAGAGAAUGGCCAUCUUGCAACCACGACCAACCGUGAGGACAAGAAGGCCAAGUGAAGAAACAGGAAGAACCUGGUGCCCUGGUGGCAUCACCGAGGCACCCUAGCAGCCCAAGACGCUUACUGUUGGGCUUAGUAACAGGAGAUGAUAGAACUUACCAGUGGUGAGAUUCUUGCAGCUGAAUGCAUGCCUGCUGGAUCCACUCCCCUGCCUCUGGAUUUCUAAACUCAUGAGAAAAUACAUUUCCUUAAUGAUUAAGCAUUUUGCACCGGGUUUCCUGUCCUUGCAGUUGAAUGCAUCCUAGAGUAUCCUGCAUUUUGCAGUGAGGUGACUUCUGAUAAAUGAGAUAUGCCUGAUCUUGGACUUGACCGACAUGGGUGUUGGGGGCAGGGAUCCCGCCCACGCCUGCUGGAGAAUCAGAGGGUCAAAGAGAAGACUUCUGAUAUCCAGCGCAUCUUUCUGCCAGAACCAAAAAGACUAAGGCCUCAGGGUUUACUUCGGCUUCAGAUUAUCUGUGAAGAGUUCUUACUGAUUUGUCAGUUUGCUUAUUUGUUUUUGAAGGAAGAAAGCUAAGGUUCAAGGAGACAAAUUUAUCACCUAAGGCUCUCAGCCAGAGCGAGGUCUGCUGGUUUCUGGGAUCAUCUUCUUUUUCCUCCUCCUCUCUGGACCCAUGUCUUCCCAUCAGUAGGAUGAGAUUAACUCAAGAUCAAAGCUUUUCAAACGUUUCAUUUCAAAGUGGGCAAAACCCUUUUACAGCUGAACUCUUACUUGUUGUCCCACUCAUAAAAAAAGACAAAAGCAGCUGCUUGUCGUGGGGCGGGUCAGGAGCCUGCAGCCUCCUCCCCGGGGCCUGGGUCCACUGGCGUCUCACUGCCGCCCCGGGGUUGCAGCGGGCUUUCAGCAGACAGCAGCCCAGAUUGUCCCGAGGCCUGCAGGAAAGCCUGAGUCCAAGAGGGGAGUCUCCGAUCUUUCAAACAGUGCGAACAUGUAUCGUGGAAGACAGUCACGCACACAGCGAAACAAAACCAAAACCAAAAACUUUCGAACAGUGCAAACGGGACGAAAAGUCACCUUCCUCUCGUCUCUGACUUGCCACUCUUCCCCCAAAACACAGGGCCUUGUCCUCUGAGAGAUGGUCUGUAUGUCUCCCAAGAGAUGUAUGUACACAUACUGUCCCAUCUUGCCUUACACACACACGCACACACACACACACACACACACACUCUAGCAUCUUGUAAUCACUUUGUAUCUUUUCUCAGUUAAUGUUGCAUCUUGGCAGUUUUUCCAAAUCCGUACUCAGAGGUCUGCUUCAUUCACUUCAGUGGUUACCUGAUACUGGAAUACUAUUUAAUUUAAAAUACCCUUAUUCUUGACUAAGACGUACGAACUACUGUGAAAGUGAAAGUGCGGGUCUCUCCGUCCUGUGUGGUUCUCGGCGACCCCACGGACCGUAGCCCGCCCGGCUCCUCUGUCCUUGGAAUUCUCCAGGCAAGAUACUGGCGUGAGUUGCCAUUUCCUCUUCCAGGGGAUUUUCCUUACCCAGAGAUCGAAUCCGGGACUCUUGCAUUGCAGGCUGAUUGUUUGCCAUCUGAUCCACCAGGGAAGCCCUACAAACCACUACGAAUAGAAUAAAUAAGAUAUAAGGAUAUACUGUACAGCCAGGGAAUAUAGACAGUAUUCUAUAACAACUUUAAGUGGAGUAUAAUGUACAGAAAUAUUGAGUCUCUACACUGUAUACCUGAAACUAAUGUAAUAUUGUACACCAACCAUACCUUAAUUAAAACAAAAAUAAGAAAAGGAAAAAACAAAGAAAUGGGAUACUAAAAACAAACGAAACUUUCCUCUUCUUGGAUACUCAGGUUGCUUCCAGUCUUUUACUGUGUUAAAGAAUCCUGCAAUUUAGGUGGGAGGUGGGAGGAAGGUUCAAAAAGGCGGUGACAUAUGUAUACCUAUGGCGGACUUAUGUUGAUGUGUGGCAGAAACCAACACACUAUUGUAAAGGAAUCAUCCUUCAAAUAAAAAUCAAUACAUUAAAAAAAGAAGAAGCUUGCAAUGAGAUCUUUAGUUCUUUAUGUGCCCCUCUUGAUAUACAUGUACUAAUUUAGAUACUUGUUCUCACACAUGCGUGCUCUCUCCC
ensembl:lncRNA